UACGGGGGGUGCGAGCGUUGUUCGGAAUUACUGGGCGUAAAGGGCUCGUAGGUGGCCAACUAAGUCAGACGUGAAAUCCCUCGGCUUAACCGGGGAACUGCGUCUGAUACUGGAUGGCUUGAGUAUGGGAGAGGGAUGCGGAAUUCCAGGUGUAGCGGUGAAAUGCGUAGAUAUCUGGAGGAACACCGGUGGCGAAGGCGGCAUCCUGGACCAUUACUGACGCUGAGGAGCGAAAGCCAGGGGAGCAAACGGG
rnacentral:rRNA from 1 species